rnacentral:rRNA from 1 species
GAUGAACGCUGGCGGCGUGCCUAAUACAUGCAAGUCGAGCGAACAGACGAGGAGCUUGCUCCUCUGACGUUAGCGGCGGACGGGUGAGUAACACGUGGAUAACCUACCUAUAAGACUGGGAUAACUUCGGGAAACCGGAGCUAAUACCGGAUAAUAUAUUGAACCGCAUGGUUCAAUAGUGAAAGACGGUUUUGCUGUCACUUAUAGAUGGAUCCGCGCCGCAUUAGCUAGUUGGUAAGGUAACGGCUUACCAAGGCAACGAUGCGUAGCCGACCUGAGAGGGUGAUCGGCCACACUGGAACUGAGACACGGUCCAGACUCCUGCGGGAGGCAGCAGUAGGGAAUCUUACGCAAUGGGCGAAAGCCUGACGGAGCAACGCCGCGUGAGUGAUGAAGGUCUUCGGAUCGUAAAACUCUGUUAUUAGGGAAGAACAAAUGUGUAAGUAACUAUGCACGUCUUGACGGUACCUAAUCAGAAAGCCACGGCUAACUACGUG